GCAGUCGUAGCCGAGUGGUUAAGGCGAUGGACUCCAUUGGGGUCUCCCCGCUCAGGUUCGAAUCUUGUCGACUGCG
rnacentral:tRNA from 2 species